UACGUAGGGGGCGAGCGUUGUCCGGAAUCAUUGGGCGUAAAGCGCGUGUAGGCGGUUCAGUAAGUCUGCUGUGAAAGUCCAGGCUCAACCCUGGGAUGCCGGUGGAUACUGCUGAACUAGAGUGCGGAAGAGGCGAGUGGAAUUCCCGGUGUAGCGGUGAAAUGCGCAGAUAUCGGGAGGAACACCAAUUGCGAAGGCAGCUCGCUGGGACGUUACUGACGCUGAGACGCGAAAGCGUGGGGAGCAAACAGG
rnacentral:rRNA from 1 species